GACUAAUGAGGUGACCAACCGGCCAGGUGAAAUACAGACUGACUAAUGAGGUGAAAUACAGACUGACUAAUGAGGUGAAAUACAGACUGACUAAUGAGGUGAAAUACAGACUGACUAAUGAGGUGAAAUACAGACUGACUAAUGAGGUGAAAUACAGACUGACUAAUGAGGUGACCAACCGGCCAGGUGAAAUACAGACUGACUAAUGAGGUGAAAUACAGACUGACUAAUGAGGUGAAAUACAGACUGACUAAUGAGGUGAAAUACAGACUGACUAAUGAGGUGAAAUACAGACUGACUAAUGAGGUGAAAUACAGACUGACUAAUGAGGUGACCAACCGGCCAGGUGAAAUACAGACUGACUAAUGAGGUGACCAACCGGCCAGGUGAAAUACAGACUGACUAAUGAGGUGACCAACCGGCCAGGUGAAAUACAGACUGACUAAUGAGGUGACAUACAGACUGACUAAUGAGGUGACCAACCGGCCAGGUGAAAUACAGACUGACUAAUGAGGUGAAAUACAGACUGACUAAUGAGGUGACCAACCGGCCAGGUGAAAUACAGACUGACUAAUGAGGUGAAAUACAGACUGACUAAUGAGGUGAAAUACAGACUGACUAAUGAGGUGAAAUACAGACUGACUAAUGAGGUGAAAUACAGACUGACUAAUGAGGUGAAAUACAGACUGACUAAUGAGGUGAAAUACAGACUGACUAAUGAGGUGAAAUACAGACUGACUAAUGAGGUGAAAUACAGACUGACUAAUGAGGUGACCAACCGGCCAGGUGAAAUACAGACUGACUAAUGAGGUGACCAACCGGCCAGGUGACAUACAGACUGACUAAUGAGGUGACCAACCGGCCAGGUGAAAUACAGACUGACUAAUGAGGUGACCAACCGGCCAGGUGAAAUACAGACUGACUAAUGAGGUGAAAUGCAGACUGACUAAUGAGGUGAAAUACAGACUGACUAAUGAGGUGAAAUGCAGACUGACUAAUGAG